GACGAACGCUGGCGGCGUGCUUAACACAUGCAAGUCGAACGAUGAAGCCUAGCUUGCUAGGUGGAUUAGUGGCGAACGGGUGAGUAAUACGUGAGUAACCUACCUUUAACUCUGGGAUAAGCCUGGGAAACUGGGUCUAAUACCGGAUACGACCAAUCUCCGCAUGGGGUGUUGGUGGAAAGCGUUAUGUAGUGGUUAUAGAUGGGCUCACGGCCUAUCAGCUUGUUGGUGAGGUAACGGCUCACCAAGGCGACGACGGGUAGCCGGCCUGAGAGGGUGACCGGCCACACUGGGACUGAGACACGGCCCAGACUCCUACGGGAGGCAGCAGUGGGGAAUAUUGCACAAUGGGCGCAAGCCUGAUGCAGCGACGCCGCGUGAGGGAUGACGGCCUUCGGGUUGUAAACCGCUGUUAGCAGGGAAGAAGAGAGAUUGACGGUACCUGCAGAGAAAGCGCCGGCUAACUACGUG
rnacentral:rRNA from 1 species